GUGCUGGGCGUCGAUAAAGCAGCAUGCAGACUAAAACUGGAAAGAUACGGGCUUAGCAUGGCCCCUGGACAAGGAUGACACGAGAGCAUUCUACAUUAAA
rnacentral:snRNA from 1 species